ensembl:lncRNA NCMAP-DT NCMAP divergent transcript
GUGCAGGUGAUCCUGGGGAGGCCGGAGAACGCGCCGGGGGUGCCAGGGUCCCGCACACUGGAGUGGCGGCGCCUCCCCGUGGUGUCCCCGCUCCUGGGUCCUUUUUGGGACUGGCUCUGGCACUCCCGGGCACUCAGUCCAGUAGAGAAGUCCAGCAGGAGGCUUCCAGGUCGGACUCCUCCGCGGGGUAAAGAGAGGGAAAGGGCCUCACAAACACACCCAGGAGCAUCUGGCGAUGGAGGAUGAGAAGACAAGAGAAUGACGGGGGCAGGGUCAGGGGUCUAAUCUCCUUGCGAGCCACCUGAUCUCCCCGGGCCUCUGUUUUCUCAUCUGUGAAAUGACGGGUUGGACGGCCUUGUCUCUGAGGCCUCAUCCAGUUCCACGUACAGGAAGAUAUAAAUGCAAAUGUGCAAAAAAAGGAAGAAGGAAAGAUGGACCAAGUUCACCUGUUUGAUGGAAAAGCAGAAGCUCAGAAAAUGGAGGCUAAGUAACUUGUUCAAGAUCACAGAGCAAGCAGAUGCCACAGCUGGAAUCUGAACCCAGCCUGCAAUGUGAACACGAUGGCUGGAGCUCCGGCAGCCAUUCUGGACCAGGAGGUAGCCUUGAAGAUGGAAGCCACAUGUUGGGAUGGUGAAUCCAAAAGAUGAGGAGCCUGUAUCCCCUGUGACACCAGAACUGCCAUACCAGCCCUGGGUUCCUCCAUCUAUACUGCCUUCAUAUGGUAAAGAAAUAUUCUUGGAUCUUGUUAGGUGUCUGUUGCAGCCAAACACAAUCCCAACUGAUAUUCACUGUAAAUGAUUCCAUGGCUCCCUGUAGUACUUCUACAAAGCAUCUAUCACAAUUGUAAUUAAUAAAAUAAUUAUGCAA